GCCCGACUAGCUCAGUCUCAGCACGAGACUCUUAAUCUCAGGGUCGUGGGUUCGACUUCACGUUGGGCG
rnacentral:tRNA from 1 species